rnacentral:rRNA from 1 species
UACGUAGGGGGCAAGCGUUGUCCGGAUUUAUUGGGCGUAAAGAGCGUGUAGGCGGCCACACAGGUCAGCUGUGAAAACUCGAGGCUCAACCUCGAGACGUCGGUUGAAACCGUAUGGCUAGAGUCCGGAAGAGGAGAGUGGAAUUCCCGGUGUAGCGGUGAAAUGCGCAGAUAUCGGGAAGAACACCCGUGGCGAAGGCGGUUCUCUGGGCCUGUACUGACGCUGAGGAGCGAAAGCGUGGGGAGCGAACAGG